rnacentral:lncRNA from 1 species
CUCCGCCUAUAAAAGGGGGACUCAGAUACGUUAUUCUCUAAGCUCAUUUCUUAUCUCAAAACUCUGCUAAAUUCUUCGUUCGAGCACUCCAUUCUUGUUGAGGCAGAGAACUGACUUGAGCGUCGGAGGAUCUUGCCGGAGCAACCCCACCUCCGGUUUAGACUUCCCUUGCAGGUCCCGGCGGCGACCGCGGCUUCCCCG